rnacentral:rRNA from 1 species
AUGAAUAUGGUUGAGUAUGAUAGUGACCACUCGGACGAUGAGGGUGAUAUUUAUGCUACUGAAUUUGUUUGGCCAUCUCAGGCCAAACCAUUUACUUGCAAUGAUUUAAAGCCGAUUCAUAAGAAUCAUGAUGAAGAGAUGAAAUUUACUUUCAACAUUGCUAAGUGUGAUAGAAUAUUUGAUGCUUUAUUGCAAGAGAAGAUUAUUAGAAUAUCUCAUACUUUACCGCCAUUUGGAGAACUGAAACGGCAUGCUUAUUGCAAGUAUCAUAAUUCUUUUUCUCAUGCUAGUAAUGAUUGUAAUGUUUUUCGACGACAGAUACAAUCGUCCAUUAAUGACGGACGAUUGAAUUUUUCUAAGAUGCAAGUUGAUAAGCAGCCUUUCCCAAUGAACACCAUGGAUUUGGAGGGGAAUAAGAUGUUAAUUCGGCCCAGCAUAGCCGAAUCAGCUAAUAAGAAUAAUAUUGUCAUUGGUGAGCCCAAGAAAAAUAAGGAGAGUGACAAGGUCUUGGGGAGACAAGUUGUUCAUGACAAGCAACCCAAUGGCAAGGAGAUAAUCAAGAUCACCAUCAAGAAUCCUACACUCGGGGGGCAACCACAAGUACAAGAGAACACUCAUGUCAAAUUUGUUAAGCCCAAGAGUCCAGAGGUUGGCAAGUGGAAAACGAAUGAAGCUAAAGUGAAAUGA